rnacentral:rRNA from 1 species
CAUGCAAGUCGAGCGGAAACGAUGGGAGCUUGCUCCCAGGCGUCGAGCGGCGGACGGGUGAGUAACGCGUAGGAAUCUACCCAGUAGCGGGGGACAACUCGGGGAAACUCGAGCUAAUACCGCAUACGCCCUUAGGGGGAAAGGCUUCGGCCACUAUUGGAUGAGCCCGCGUCCGAUUAGUUUGUUGGUAGGGUAAUGGCCUACCAAGACUACGAUCGGUAGCUGGUCUGAGAGGACGAUCAGCCACACUGGGACUGAGACACGGCCCAGACUCC